rnacentral:rRNA from 1 species
CAUGUAGGCGGUUCGUCGCGUCCGGUGUGAAAGUCCAUCGCUUAACGGUGGAUCCGCGCCGGGUACGGGCGGGCUUGAGUGCGGUAGGGGAGACUGGAAUUCCCGGUGUAACGGUGGAAUGUGUAGAUAUCGGGAAGAACACCAAUGGCGAAGGCAGGUCUCUGGGCCGUCACUGACGCUGAGGAGCGAAAGCGUGGGGAGCGAACA